AGUCUGACGGAGCACGCCGCGUGAGUGAUGAAGGUUUUCGGAUCGUAAAGCUCUGUUGUUAGGGAAGAACAAGUACCGUUCGAAUAGGGCGGUACCUUGACGGUACCUAACCAGAAAGCCACGGCUAACUACGUGCCAGCAGCCGCGGUAAUACGUAGGUGGCAAGCGUUGUCCGGAAUUAUUGGGCGUAAAGCGCGCGCAGGUGGUUCCUUAAGUCUGAUGUGAAAGCCCACGGCUCAACCGUGGAGGGUCAUUGGAAACUGGGGAACUUGAGUGCAGAAGAGGAAAGUGGAAUUCCAAGUGUAGCGGUGAAAUGCGUAGAUAUUUGGAGGAACACCAGUGGCGAAGGCGACUUUCUGGUCUGUAACUGACACUGAGGCGCGAAAGCGUGGGGAGCAAACAGGAUUAGAUACCCUGGUAGUCCACGCCGUAAACGAUGAGUGCUAAGUGUUAGGGGGUUUCCGCCCCUUAGUGCUGCAGCUAACGCAUUAAGCACUCCGCCUGGGGAGUACGGUCGCAAGACUGAAACUCAAAGGA
rnacentral:rRNA from 1 species